ACAUCGAGUACGAGGAAACGUUGUUAUAUCUUAGCUCCAGAACAUGUGACAGCACAUGCAGCAGCCACUAGUUGAUGUACGCUCGUGCAAUGUUUGGAUACAAUCACAACUCUGAAUUUGGGCGUCAAUCAACAAUAAACUAAGAAUAUACAAGAGACCAAUAAAAUCACAAGUUCAUGCAUGAUAGUUCACAUCGUCACAUCAGUAUGUGGCUUGAAUGCUGGUUCGAGACAGUUCAUACCAGCCACGCACAAUAAAGAAGAAACUUGAAUGCUGGUGCUUCUGUCCCUUGGGAGUUCUACGGACGGUGUCAGGCCUGCUGGCGCUUCGCAUCGACGGCUUCCUUCAGCUUCCUCCCAAGCGCAAAGGCAAGAGGGGGUGGCACAGCGUUGCCAAUCUGCCUGUGCUUGCUCUGAAUGGUGCCCGAAAACUGGUAGCUGUCAGGAAAGCCCUGCAGACGUUGAUAGGUUCAAAUCAGAUUAUCUACCAGGCCUUACAACAAUAUUUAACACGUUUGACUAUUUGUUAUCAGAUGGGGAUGGAUGUAGAGCAGCUUAAGCUUACCUGAGAUCGCGCACAUUCACGGACCGUGAUAAUCCUAUCCUGGUCAGGGUGGAAGCACAUGCCAACCUUGCCCAUCGGCUGAGGAUCAGUCACAGACGUGGGGAAAUUGCCCUCCCAAUCUAACCUCCCAUACAGACCCUUCCACUGAUUGUGCCUUUUAGCGGUGUUAGGCAAGCACCAAGGUAUCAGGUCCACCAUUUGACCAGAAGAUAGCUUCACCUGCACAUGUAUGUUCGGGGAUUAACAUAUCACAAACACCAAAAAGGAUAUACUAUAGAUCAACAGAAACAGUGAAUGCAGCUACAGAGUAGGACAGUCUCAUUUACCUUCUCAUCUGGCAAGUCAUGCCAGUCACAGCCAGGUCGUUUGGGAAUAUGUUUGCAUCUUAUGAGAUUUAAUUCAUUCAUCUCCUUAGAUAUGUGAUCGUUCAAUGCAAUAGUGCUACCUCUGAUCUUCUUCUGAAACCAAGAGGUAGGCUCACCUCCAUACUGCAUUAAGAGAGGAAUUCACUAAAUAUGGGAAUCCAGAGCAGAAACAAAAGAAAAACUGAAUGGCCUUGGAAUAUUACCUCAAGUAUGAGUUUACUUGCACCAUUUUCCACUUUUGGCAAAUCCCCAAUUGUAUCUCUAACAGUUAUUGCACGGAAAGGUGCCCCACCAGCAGUGCUUUUGGCAGCUGCAUAGUAUUUGCCAUCAGGCAGUGUUAUUUUCAGUUCAGGGCUAGCAAACAC
rnacentral:lncRNA from 1 species